rnacentral:rRNA from 1 species
UACGUAGGGCGCAAGCGUUGUCCGGAAUCAUUGGGCGUAAAGAGCUCGUAGGCGGCCUGUUGCGUCCGCUGUGAAAUCCCGGGGCUUAACCCCGGGCGUGCAGUGGAUACGGGCUGGCUGGAGGCAGGCAGGGGAGAACGGAAUUCCCGGUGUGAGCGGUGAAAUGCGCAGAUAUCGGGAGGAACACCGGUGGCGAAGGCGGUUCUCUGGGCCUGUACUGACGCUGAGGAGCGAAAGCGUGGGGAGCGAACAGG